rnacentral:rRNA from 1 species
CGUUGAAACUGGUGGACUGGAAUGCGGAUGCUGUGGGAGGAAUGUGUGGUGUAGCGGUGAAAUGCAUAGAUAUCACACAGAACACCGAUUGCGAAGGCAUCUCACAAAUCCGUGAUUGACGCUGAGGCACGAAAGUGUGGGGAUCAAACAGGAUUAGAUACCCUGGUAGUCCACACUGUAAACGAUGAUGACUCGCUGUCGGCGAUAUACAGUCGGUGGCCAAGCGAAAGCGAUAAGUCAUCCACCUGGGGAGUACGACCGCAAGGUUGAAACUCAAAGGAAUUGACGGGGGCCCGCACAAGCGGAGGAACAUGUGGUUUAAUUCGAUGAUACGCGAGGAACCUUACCCGGGCUCGAACGGUACAGGAAGGAUCAAGAGAUUGAGACGCCCUUCGGGGCCUGUAUCGAGGUGCUGCAUGGUUGUCGUCAGCUCGUGCCGUGAGGUGUCGGCUUAAGUGCCAUAACGAGCGCAACCCUUGCCGUCAGUUACCAGCACGUAGAGGUGGGGACUCUGGCGGGACUGCCACCGUAAGGUGAGAGGAGGGGGGGGAUGACGUCAAAUCAGCACGGCCCUUACGUCCGGGGCGACACACGUGUUACAAUGGUGGGUACAGAGGGCAGCUACCUGGCGACAGGAUGCAAAUCUCGAAAACCCAUCUCAGUUCGGAUCGGAGUCUGCAACUCGACUCCGUGAAGUUGGAUUCGCUAGUAAUCGCGCAUCAGCCAUGGCGCGGUGAAUACGUUCCCGGGCCUUGUACACACCGCCCGUCAAGCCAUGAAAGCCGGGGGUGCUUGAAGUCCGUGACCGAGAGGAGCGGCCUAGGGCAAAACUGGUAAUUGGGGCUAAGUCGUAACAAGGUAACCCGGGCGGCCGCU